GACGAACGUUGGCGGCGUGCUUAAUACAUGCAAGUCAACUGAAGCAGUGGUAGCAAUAUCGCUGUGGAGGUGGCGCACGGGUGAGUAACACGUAGGUAAUCUGCCUUCAGGUCUGGCAUAACUCCGGGAAACCGGGGCUAAUAGCAGAUGAUGCAGCGGCUCGACAUCGAGACAGUUGUUAAAGCUAUGUCGCCUGAAGAUGAGCCUGCGUCUGAUUAGCUAGUUGGCGGGGUAACGGCCCACCAAGGCAACGAUCAGUAGCUGGUCUGAGAGGAUGAUCAGCCACACUGGAACUGAGACACGGUCCAGACUCCUACGGGAGGCAGCAGUAAGGAAUAUUGCUCAAUGGGAGAAAUCCUGAAGCAGCAACGCCGCGUGAGGGACGAAGGGCUUUUGCUUGUAAACCUCUGUAGUGAGAGAAAAAAAUCCCAAUCUUUGGGACAUGAUGGUAUCUCAAAAGUAAGCCCCGGCUAACUACGUG
rnacentral:rRNA from 1 species